rnacentral:rRNA from 1 species
AGCAGCAGCCGCGGUAAAACGUAGGUGGCGAGCGUUGUCCGGAAUUAUUGGGCGUAAAGGGAGCGCAGGCGGGCGAGUAAGUCUUUCUUAAAAGUGCGGGGCUCAACCCCGUGAGGGGAGAGAAACUACUCAUCUUGAGUGCAGGAGAGGAAAGCGGAAUUCCUAGUGUAGCGGUGAAAUGCGUAGAUAUUAGGAAGAACACCAGUGGCGAAGGCGGCCUUCUGGACUGUAACUGACGCUGAGGCUCGAAAGCCAGGGGAGCGAACGGGAUUAGAGACCCCCGUAGUCCCUGUCUCUUAUACA